rnacentral:rRNA from 1 species
GGUUCAGGAUGAACGCUGGCGGCGUGCUUAACACAUGCAAGUUGCGCGGUGAUCUCAAGAAGUUUCGGACGGAAAGGGGAGAGCAGCAGCGGACGGGUGAGUAAAGCACAAGGACUUGUCCCGAAGAGGGGGACAACUGUGGGAAACCACAGCUAAUACCCCAUAAGCCGAGAGGUGAAAGCAGUAAUGCGCUUUAGGAGAGACUUGUGUCCUAUCAGGUAGUUGGUGAGGUAACGGCUCACCAAGCCGAAGACGGGUAGCCGGACUGAGAGGUUGUACGGCCACAUUGGAACUGAGAGACGGUCCAGACUCCUACGGGAGGCAGCAGUGGGGAAUAUUGGGCAAGUGGGGGCAACCCUCGACCCAGCGACGCCGCGUGAGGGAAGACAGCCUUCGGGUUAUAAACCUCUGUUGCAGGGGAAGAAGAAAGUGACGGUACCCUGCGAGGAAGCUCCGGCAAACUACGUGCCAGCCGCCGC